AUUGAACGCUGGCGGCAGGCUUAACACAUGCAAGUCGAACGAGUGGCGGACGGGUGAGUAAUGCUUGGGAAUCUAGCUUAUGGAGGGGGAUAACUACGGGAAACUGUAGCUAAUACCGCGUACCAUAGGAUGAGCCCAAGUGGGAUUAGGUAGGUGGUGAGGUAAAGGCUCCCCAGGCCGACGAUCUCUAGCUGGUCUGAGAGGAUGACCAGCCCGUGUGUGACUGAGACACUGCCCAGACUCCUGCGGGAGGCGGCAGUGGGGAAUAUUGCGCAAUGGGGGCAGCCUGACGCAGCCAUGCCGCGUGAAUGAAGCAGGCCUUCGGGUUGUAAAGUUCUUUCGGUAGCGGGGCGUUAGCUACAGGAGAAGCGCCGGCUAACUCCGUGCCGGCAGCCGCGGUAAUUC
rnacentral:rRNA from 1 species